rnacentral:rRNA from 1 species
AGGAUCAUAACUAGUGUUUAUACAUCCUAACAAGGUAUCAGAACUGAACAAACCCAAGUGGGGGGCUUGCCAUGGAAGUAAACGUGGAACUGGAAUGUAAAAGUCGUAACCAAGUCACAUUGUUAUUAAAAAUUCGUAACAAGGUUUCCGUAGGUGAACCUGCGGAAGGAUCAUUACCGAGUUGAUUCGAGCUCCGGCUCGACUCUCCCACCCUUUGUGUACCUACCUCUGUUGCUUUGGCGGGCCCGCGGUUCGGCCUCGUGCCGUCCAGCACCCGCCAGAGGACCACAAAACUCCAGUCAGUGAACGUCUCAGUCUGAAAAACAAGUUAAUAAACUAAAACUUUCAACAACGGAUCUCUUGGUUCUGGCAUCGAUGAAGAACGCAGCGAAAUGCGAUAAGUAAUGUGAAUUGCAGAAUUCAGUGAAUCAUCGAAUCUUUGAACGCACAUUGCGCCCCUUGGUAUUCCGGGGGGCAUGCCUGUUCGAGCGUCAUUUCAACCCUCAAGCUCUGCUUGGUAUUGGGCUCCGUCCUCAGGGACGCGCCUCAAAGACCUCGGCGGUGGCGUCUUGCCUCAAGCGUAGUAGAAAACACCUCGCUUUGGAGCGCACGGCGUCGCCCGCCGGACGAACCUUUGAAUUUUUCUCAAGGUUGACCUCGGAUCAGGUAGGGAUACCCGCUGAACCCAAUCCAUGCAGAGGCUGCGGACCUACCCCCGUUUUAUGCACACAUAUAUCCUAAGCAUCUGUAGCUGCUUGACCCAAGACCCGCGUAAGGAUUAAGCUUUUUAAAUUAUGUAUAUCAAUACCCCGUAUGCAAAGUUUUCAUAACCCAUCUCC